CUGCCAGCCGCCGCGGUAAAACGUAGGGGGCAAGCGUUGUCCGGAAUUACUGGGCGUAAAGGGCGUGUAGGCGGCCCGAGAAGUCGAAAGUGAAAACACAGAGCUUAACUUUGUGCCUGCUUUCGAAACCAACGGGCUUGAGUACAGGAGAGGUAAGUGGAAUUCCCAGUGUAGCGGUGAAAUGCGUAGAUAUUGGGAGGAACACCAGUGGCGAAAGCGACUUACUGGCCUGAAACUGACGCUGAGGCGCGAAAGCGUGGGGAGCAAACAGGAUUAGAUACCCUGGUAGUCCACGCCGUAAACGAUGGGUGCUAAGUGUUGGGGGUAUCGACCCCUCCAGUGCUGUAGUUAACGCAAUAAGCACCCCGCCUGGGGAGUACGGUCGCAAGACUGAAACUCAAAUGAAUUGACGG
rnacentral:rRNA from 1 species